rnacentral:lncRNA from 1 species
AAAUUUUGAAUCCGUCCAUGAGUGGAAUGCCCAGGGCGAUCCUGAGAUUUUAGGGGCUUCAAUCGAAAUUUGGAGGCGAGCCCCCUAAAAUCUGCAAGUACUUUUUUUUAGUACUACCGGUUGUCUAAAAACCAUUACCGGUAGUGAUAAAUCUGCAAUUGUUUUUUGGUUGGAGCCUUAAAAAUUAGAUUUUUGAGGGGGUUUUAAAGCCUGGAUUGAAUUGGCUUCAGCCCAGGUGCGGCUCUGGAAAUGCCAUCCAGUACCAACCACGACUUGAGUCGGGUCCUGCAGCGGCAGAGGAAAAAUUGAGGAUAUGGACGUGAUUUUUUUGAUCUUUCAAUGCAAUAAGUAUAGGAGCAAGAUUUUUAAAUUGAAGAAGAAUUUGAAUUUGACUUAGAUUCGUUGGUACAUCUUAAAUAUGUUGAAGUCCAGUUUAAAUAUAUUUGUUAAAGACAAAUGUUAACGAGUGACUUGGGACGUUAGUUUAAAGUAUAUUGAUUUAUUAAAUACAAUUUUUUUGCGUCUUUUCUUUCAAUAAAAUGGCUAAAAUGACCCCUAAUUUUAAUAAGUUUUAAUUUUUGUUGAGUCAUUCAUUAAGUUUAGAGAGUUGACUAACUAUUCAAAAGUGGAUCAAGACUUUAAAAUCUUUCAUUUGUUAUCACAACUUUCAUAAAAAUUGACUCUACUUUUGUCACUUGAAGUAUCCAUCUACUUGUCACUAUUAAAUUAAACUGUCUAUUUACUAGAAAGUCAAUUAUUUUUAGUUAAUUCCUUGAUAAUUAUAAUAAUUUAUUUUUAUUUUUUAAAGAUAGCUAAAAAUAAAAUAAAUGAAACGAAUUCUAAUUUGAAGAGAAAACAAAUGAUUGGUCUUAUAAAAAAAAAUAUAAAUAAGUGUGUUUAAAAAAAAGAGAAAUUAUAUCUAUUUAACUUAUGUAUUGAGAAAAGAUAGCAAGAUUAUCUAAGAGCAACUCCAAAAACCUCUCUUUCCUUAUUCUUUCCCUAAUUUAUGGAGUUUUUUUUUUAUAAAAAAGUUGGGAAAAUAUCAAAAUCUCCCAUAAAAUUUUCAUCAAAAUGAUUCAUACACAUCUGUCAUUUGAUAAAUUUAUGCCCUUUUAACAUAUUAAUCAAUUCGACCCUCAACGUUAAUUCUCGUCAAAUUAAUGACGAAAUUCACAGAUUUUCUACGUUAACAUUGGGAAGGGAAAAUUGAUUUAAUCUCUCGACAAAAAUCAAAGUUUUUCUCUCAUUUUUUCUCUCUUUACUCCUAUCCUAUCAUUUGUAGUCUUUGCCCCUAUUAUUUUUUCUUUGUUUGCAAAACAAAUUUCAGAAUUCAGAGGGUUACCACGUUGACUAAUUUUCGCUUCAAAUGUUGUUGUGGAUGGAUGGGGCAAAAAAAUCUUUCAGAUGAAUCUUAUUAUUAAUUUGUUGGGAGUUAACGUCAGAAAGUGUAUUAAUUGAUAUUUUAAAAUAUUAAUUAAUACCCUUGUCCCAUAUAUGGGAAAUUAUUUGAUCUUUUUGAACUAGUAGUCCGAGUCAUUUAAAAAAAGCAAACGUUAAACUGGACUGUAGUCCAAUUCCACUUAAUCCGGCCUAAUCCGGGUAAUCAAAUAUGCCAAUUACCCUAAAAUUGAGGUCGACGGACCGUUCUCACCUUCACCGUCCCGUCCCGUCCCGUCAUGGCAUUCCUGAUGUUCUCCACUGUUGUUGAUAAUAGAAUCUCAGCCCAUCCGAAAAAUAGAACGUUGUUGGUAUGCCAUAUGAUUCGAAAUCAAAACCUUAUAGCCUGGAAACCAUGGAAAGACAUGGAAAUGGCACAACAGAGGGUCCUAAAACAAAGGGGGAAAACCCUACAAAAGGAGAACUCUCUCUCUCUCUAUAUAUAAAAGAGGGAUUUGGCGUGGGAAAAAUAAUUUAAUUAAAAAAAAUAAUCAUUCAUUAAAAUAGAGGAAGAAUAUAAAGUACUAGUAUUCUAAUGAAAUUUUCUUUGUAUCCAAUCCAUUGCGUUCGAUCCAAGUUGUAUUGUGAGGAAGUAUCCCCCAACACAACACAUUCUAACUCCAUUGUUGCUCGUGUCUACUAGCAUUACGUAAAAUAAAAACUAUAUCUUAAACGUACUUGUUAGAGUUUUACAAUAUAAAAAACAGAUAAGAUAUAAACGUCAGAUAAAAGAUACAUUUCAUGCAUAUACGAAGAGAUAUAUUGCUAUAAAAUGAAGAACAACUUAAAAACUAUAAUGAUUUUGAAAUUUUUUUGCUAAUUUGGGAGAAAUAAAGGAGAAAGAAAGAGGUGUUUUAUUUUUUUGGGGUUUGAGUCCUACUAAAAAAUGAUUUAAUGGAUAAAAAAUAUACUCAAAUUUAGAGAUUUUUUGUCCAUUAAAUAAGAAUCUACGUGGUUCCCAUACUUUUGAGUAUAAGGAAGUGAUUUUUUUUUUUGAAAAAAAAAAUUUCAAUUGCUGAAUUAAUUUAAAUAAAUUUCAGCUGUAGAUAGCUAGAGAUAGAUU